rnacentral:rRNA from 1 species
AACGUAGGAGACGAGCGUUAUCCGGAUUUACUGGGCGUAAAGGCGUGUGCAGGCGGUUCGGGCAAGUUGGAUGUGAAAUCUCCCGGCUCAACUGGGAGGGGUCGUUCAAUACUACCGAAUCCUUGAGGUCAUCAGAGGAAGGUGGAAUUCCGGGUGUAGUGGUGAAAUGGACGUAGAUAUCGGAGGAACACCAGUGGCGAAGGCGGCCUUCGUGGAUGAUCCUGACGCUCGGACGACG